UACAGAGGUCUCGAGCGUUGUUCGGAUUCAUUGGGCGUAAAGGGCGCGUAGGCGGCGGGGUAAGUCUGGUGUGAAAUCUAGGAGCUCAACUCCUAAACUGCACUGGAUACUGCUCUGCUAGAGGACUGGAGAGGAGACUGGAAUUCACGGUGUAGCAGUGAAAUGCGUAGAUAUCGUGAGGAAGACCAGUGGCGAAGGCGGGUCACUGGCCCGGGUACUGACGCUGAGGUGCGAAAGCG
rnacentral:rRNA from 1 species